GAUGUCUGCAUAUCUGAGGCAAGAGCGUAAGGCAAACAAUGAGUGGUAUAUUUGUGAUACUUCAAAAUCUUUACGAAGUUGUACAUGAACUCUGGACUGC